ACUCCACUCAAAAAAGGAGUCUUAAAUGUACCUCAGGCUACAAGACAAAGUAUAAAAAGCUCAUCCUCUAGAGUGCUUCCAAAAACCUUCCCUUCACUUCUGCUUCUUAGAGAACUAGAUCCACCUCUGAACCUCAAAGAUGUCUGGUGGUCCCAGUGGAGUGCCCAACAAUUGCUAUGCCCAGUGUCCGGCAUCAACAGUGACCAUCCAGCCACCACCUUUUCGACUAAUCAUCCCAGGGCCGGCUCUCUACUGCCCCGACCAGCCUUUCGGCAUUCAGCAGAAUAACCCAUGCAUUCGUGGCGGAGUGGGCAGCAAUGGUGGCUCCAGCUUGUCUGAGUUCUACUCCCAGUCUCUGCCAAGCUGCGCUUUCAACUACAGCAGCCACCGCUUUUAAACCAAAGGGAAACAGCUAUGGAAGAAGGAUAAGGUGGGAGAAAAAAUAACAGCAAGAGGAAACAGAGCCAAACCAGUCGCUGCAACAUUGAACAUCCAAAGUCACAAUUGGCACAAGCCAUAAACUGUGAUGUCUGAGUCAUUUGGGGGGGGGG